rnacentral:rRNA from 1 species
AUUGAACGCUGGCGGCAGGCCUAACACAUGCAAGUCGAGCGAGCGGCGGACGGGUGAGUAAUGUCUGGGUAUCUGCCCGAUCGAGGGGGAUAACUACUGGAAACGGUGGCUAAUACCGCAUACUAUCGGAUGCACCCAGAUGGGAUUAGCUAGUAGGUGGGGUAAAGGCUCACCUAGGCCACGAUCCCUAGCUGGUCUGAGAGGAUGAGCAGCCACACUGGAACUGAGACACGGCCCAGACUCCUACGGGAGGCAGCAGUGGGGAAUAUUGCACAAUGGGCGCAAGCCUGAUGCAGCCAUGCCGCGUGUAUGAAGAAGGCCUGAGGGUUGUAAAGUACUUUCAGCGGGGAGGCGUUACCCGCAGAAGAAGCACCGGCUAACUCCGUGCCAGCAGCCGCGGUAAUAC